rnacentral:rRNA from 1 species
AUUGAACGCUGGCGGCAGGCCUAACACAUGCAAGUCGAGCGGAUGAAGGGAGCUUGCUCCUGGAUUCAGCGGCGGACGGGUGAGUAAUGCCUAGGAAUCUGCCUGGUAGUGGGGGAUAACGUCCGGAAACGGGCGCUAAUACCGCAUACGUCCUGAGGGAGAAAGUGGGGGAUCUUCGGACCUCACGCUAUCAGAUGAGCCUAGGUCGGAUUAGCUAGUUGGUGGGGUAAAGGCCUACCAAGGCGACGAUCAGUAACUGGUCUGAGAGGAUGAUCGGUCACACGGGAACUGAGAAACGGUCCAGACUCCUACGGGAGGAAGCAGUGGGGAAUAUUGGACAAUGGGGGAAAGCCUGAUGCAGCCAUGCCGCGUGUGUGAAGAAGGUCUUCGGAUUGUAAAGCACGUUAAGUUGGGAGGAAGGGCAGUAAGGUAAUACCUUGAUGUAUUGACGGUACCAACAGAAUAAGCAACGGCUAACUACGUG